UUAACGGGGUAGAGAAAGCUCGAACGAGAUAUGAUCGUCAUUAUUACUAUUAUCGCAUUAAUUAUCACUAUGACGCAAAGACACACGGAUUGUACGGGAAAAGAACGCGAGAUGUCGUUAUUAAAAUAGUUAUGGCCGAGCUAGCUGAAUCCGUCGGACCACGUAUGGUGUACUCGAUUCUGGCGAAGCGAGCUUCGUCCAUGAAAUAUACCAAGGGGAACGAAUCGAGAUCGAGAAUAGUACAGAAGUUUGAGCACAAGGUAGAAGACGAGAAUAAUCUGUGGAGAGAAGAAAAGAAAGGUAGAGCGCGAGAAAGAAAAAGAGUGAAAGAGAUAUGGAUAGUGAGAAAGGAAGAGUGGGUGCGUGAGACAAACGUGUAAGAGAAGAAGAGAGAAAGAACAAAGGAGAAAAAGAGAUCGAAUGAAUGUGCAGUCAGUCAUGCUACAGCUACUACGACCACUACCCUAAGUAGAUUAUGCUACUUCGCCGCUGAUCUAAUUGUUUACUGUCACGUGUUGCUGUAAACCUAAACUAACGAUACGAUAUAUUUUAUUUAUAUAAUCUAAUCGACUGUAUUUAUUGUAAAUAGUCACGAUGUUUGCUAUGAUAUAAUAUAUCUGUAAUUGGAUGGAACUUGCCUGGAAACUGCGCCCACAGCCCUGUCCUCUAUGAUCAAUGUCUCUCUGUACACGUUCACACACACAUCAGACUGGCGCGUGUCUCUAACACGCGUGCAUGCAACACGUAUACGGAUACAUGCAAAGUAUUUGCUAUCGUGAAUCAUCGGCACUCCGGGAAGAAACAUAGUAAUUGGAGAAACUGCUACAUACUUGUUUCGAUUAAUAAGAAGCGGGAGGCACGACUAAUGGGCGUUUAUCCGAGGAAAAGUGGACACUUAUCCGGGGACUACUGUACAUGGUAACGAAGAUAGAUGUCGUCGAGACACUCAUGGGACAAAAAGAAGAUUGACCAGCUUAUUAAUCAACAUCCGUCACUGUCUCUUCAUUCUGGCAAGUAUGCAGAGUACCAAAAGAAAACUGGCUAACUGAAAUGAAAGGUGAAUUAGACGAUUUUGAUCUUAUCGUGGUCUCGGUAUUAA